UCAAGAUGACGAUAAUAAUAUUACUAUUAGUAAUGUUGGUGGUAUGAGUAACUCGGAGCGACUCACCGGGUCACAACCCUCUCAGUCACCUACUCUUAAAAGGCCCAGCAUGUUUUUUUCUCUUCUAGUCUUCAUCGGCAAGCCCACCCAUGUCCCUGACAUUGCUUCCCUAUGCACACUCUUUUUGCAAAUCAUUUCUUCACUUUGUUCCAUCCCAAGCUCUCCCAUCACUCUCUCAGCCAACAACUGCCUCGACGCUAUGUCUUCAAUUGGCAUUUCUCUUUUUGCCGCUUAUUUAACUCCAUAUUUUACUGUCACUGAUAUUUUCACUUCGCCACCGAUUCUAGCCGAUAGUUUCCCGAAAGUACUGUAAUGGCCAAUUUUUGGCCCAUACAAAUAAAAAAUAACAAAACCCAAUAAACCAAAUAAAUAAAGUCCAAAGUACAAAACUAAAAGACUAGCCCAACAGGCCCAAAUCAACCUAGCCCACUAAACAUUUUCCAAAAAAAAAAAAGAGGAAACCCUAGCAGCUCCCCAAGCCUCCAGCCGCCGCACGCUAGGCCAACCAUGGGCCACCUUGCGCACUACCACCACCACACCCCGUUCAUGCCCUUCUCCUCCAUGCGUCUGACACCGCCUGCAAAACGAGACACAACUACAGAGAACAGAACAAAAACGCAACAAACAAUAGAAAUUUUCUUGGUAUUCGGCUAUAUGAAGCCUCAAUCAAAAAUAUGUGAGGGGUGUUCUUUCGAAAUACAAAAAGUUUGUAUCAAAAACAAAAGAAAAAAGAAAAGCUUAGAAGGUUAACUUCAAUUUUUUUUCCUCUGUUAUCUCAAUCUUUCUAUUUAUCUUUGCUUUGUUUUAUUUUUUAUUUCAUUAACUUACUUUAAAACAAAAAAGAAUCAAGGAAGAAGAGAGUCUUACCGGAUCUACCCUGUGGCCGCUCCCCUCUCCGUUCGACACGGUGAACCGCCAGCGAUGAUGGGUGUUGAAACCCUAGCUGAAGAAAGGAGGAAGAGAUAAAGGGGGAGGGGUUUGAG
rnacentral:lncRNA from 1 species